rnacentral:rRNA from 1 species
AGAGUUUGAUCCUGGCUCAGGAUGAACGCUGGCGGCGUGCUUAAUACAUGCAAGUCGAACGGACAUGUAGUAAUACAUGUUAGUGGCGAACGGGUGAGUAACGCGUUGGUGACCUGCCCCGAAGUGUGGGAUAACAGUUCGAAAGGACUGCUAAUACCGCAUGAGGUUGCUGGGGUUAGAGGCCUGGCAACGAAAGGAGAAAUCCGCUUUGGGAGGGGCCUGCGUCCCAUCAGCUAGUUGGUGAGGUAAAAGCUCACCAAGGCGAUGACGGGUAGGGGGCCUGAGAGGGUGACCCCCCACACUGGCACUGAAACACGGGCCAGACACCUACGGGUGGCAGCAGUAGGGAAUAUUGGGCAAUGGGCGAAAGCCUGACCCAGCAACGCCGCGUGUGCGAUGAAGGCCUUCGGGUCGUAAAGCACUUUUCGGGGAGAAGAGGAAGGACGGUAUCCCCGGAAUAAGGAUCGGCUAACUACGUGCCAGCAGCCGCGGUAACACGUAGGAUCCAAGCGUUAUCCGAAUUCACUGGGCGUAAAGCGCGUGCAGGCGGCACGGUAAGUUGGAUGUGAAAUCUCCCGGCUCAACUGGGAGAGGACGUUCAAUACUGCCGAGCUAGAGGGCGACAGAGGGAGGUGGAAUUCCCGGUGUAGUGGUGAAAUGCGUAGAUAUCGGGAAGAACACCAGUGGCGAAGGCGGCCUCCUGAGUCGCACCUGACGCUCAGACGCGAAAGCUAGGGGAGCAAACGGGAUUAGAAACCCCGGUAGUCCUAGCUGUAAACGAUGUAGACUUGGCGUAGGUGGUGUAAGAGCCAUCUGUGCCGCAGCAAAUGCGAUAAGUCUACCGCCUGGGGACUACGGCCGCAAGGUUAAAACUCAAAGGAAUUGACGGGGGCCCGCACAAGCAGCGGAGCGUGUGGUUUAAUUCGAUUCUACGCGAAAAACCUUACCCGGGUUUGACAUACAGGUAGUAGGGAAGCGAAAGCGGACCGACCCUUCGGGGAGCCUGAACAGGUGCUGCAUGGCUGUCGUCAGCUCGUGUCGUGAGAUGUCCGGUUAAGUCCGGUAACGAGCGCAACCCUCGCUAUAUGUUACAAGUGUCAUAUGGGACUGCCGGUAUAAAGCCGGAGGAAGGUGGGGAUGACGUCAAGUCAGCAUGGCCUUUAUGUCCGGGGCUACACACACGCUACAAUGGCCGGGUACAAUAGGUUGCAAAUCCGCGAGGAAGAGCCAAUCCAUAAAACCGGCCACAGUUCAGAUUGCAGGCUGCAACCCGCCUGCAUGAAGUCGGAGUUGCUAGUAACCGCGCGUCAGCAAUAGUGCGGUGAAUACGUUCCCGGGCCUUGUACACACCGCCCGUCACGUCAUGGGAGCUGGCAACACCUGAAGCCGGUAUCCUAACCGUAAGGAGGGAGCCGUCGAAGGUGGGGCUGGUGACUGGGACGAAGUCGUAACAAGGUA